ACUCCUUUCCGUGCGAUGAUGCUCUAUACCCUGACCUCUUCUGAAUGCCUCCCAUGGUCACCAUUACCAAUACCAGCUACCACACUGGGUGGUGACAGUGACAACGUCAAACUGCCAGGGUGCUACAAAGGUCUGCCCCACCCAACACCCCAGACAGCACACCCUGGAGCCUGCCGGCUGCCUUUCAGACCUACUUCUCACUCCCAGCCAGGACUCAGCCCAGCAGGCCUCUGAGGACCAGCCCCUGAGCUCCGCCCCACUACUGCCAGGCUUCUGUUCAGCCCCUCUGAAAGCCAGCUAGGUGUAGACCCGGGCAGCCAGAGCAGGGAAGGCGUACACACUCACUUCCUGUUCUGUGCCCAGUACAGCACCACCUGCGAUGGGGCGGAGGAAGGGUGCACACAGCUGCAGACACUGACCCUGCACAGGGCCUUCCGUGCCUCGUGCUUCCCGAGCCCCACAUCGUCAAAGGCUCCUCAUCUUUCCUCUGCGGGUAAUCAGCCCAGGCCGCAGCCCCGACCUCACUCCGCACCGCCUGCCCACUUUGCACCAUCCAAGUGGUCUGCUCCAGUCAUUCGGCUGCUUCCCCAAGGGCCACCUACCCCGCACCUGCGCCCAUACCCACACCUCUGUCGCCUCGAUGACCUUCCCGAAUCACCCCGGGGCCCUCUCCACGGACUUCUCGGUCAAUCACGUGGAAAAGGCUCCAUGCAGGGCUCGCUCUCAUCAGCGUCCGGGUGGUCUCAGUUUCACCUCUACUGUAGCACCAGCCACACUGCGCCGGAGCUGUGCCGCACAGGAGGCUAGCUUCAUCCACUCCAGGCAUUUGGCAGCACAUCUUGUCUCUGAGCACCCAGGAACACUGUGUGCCCACUGCCAGCUGGGAAGGCUCGAAGAUCAUAAACCCUUGGACACGAAGGUCUCAGGAAAUGAGCUGAAUGUUUACAGCUGCUUCGGCCUCCAAGCUGCCACUAGCGCUGGGUGCUGCAGAGGAAGAGCACUCAGAAGAGCUGGUUUCCUGCCUGAAGGCGGCCCCUCGACAUGGCAGCAGUGUGAAACCUCACGCUAGCAGAGGGCUUCUGCGACAGGAAGCAAGACUUGCACACCUAGCUGAGGGCAGGGGACAGCGAGGAGUUCAGAGGGAGCACCAGGGCAACCAAGAACCCAGCCUGGAGAUCAGCAUAAAGUGCAGCUACCAAAAACCUCUCCAAUACUGCAAACAGCGCCUCGGGUGCAAAGCUGCCCCAAGAGGAGGACCACUUGUCUAGAAGAAUUCGAAAGGUCCCCUGGUGCUUCUAUUCCAUGGCAGGCCCCCUCCACACACCACGAAGCCACCCUGCAGGAGCUGCUUACUCAACAAGAUUCAGCUCAUUAACCAAUUGAAACUAUUUUUUUUAAUGUGGAAAUGAACAAGAAAAUUUUCUUUGCACAAAUAUGCACAUCUCAGACAAAUCUUUUAAUAAUACAUUAUCAUCUCACUAGAACAUAUAAGCAUAUACAGAAUGCCAUGGAUGCUUAGAGGGAAAAGACACCAGAGGAAUCUGAAGUGAGAAAACACAGAACCUGGUCUUUGUAGCAGGCUUCACUAAUGCAGUUAUUUUUACUUAUUCUCUAUAGAAAUGGGUAUAGACCUAUGCAUGUUCUCGAUGCCUCCUUCACUU